rnacentral:rRNA from 1 species
GGGGUCCUCGAGACCUUUGUGGCGCAGUUAACGCGAUAAGUCGACCGCCUGGGGAGUACGGCCGCAAGGUUAAAACUCAAAUGAAUUGACGGGGGCCCGCACAAGCGGUGGAGCAUGUGGUUUAAUUCGAUGCAACGCGAAGAACCUUACCUACUCUUGACAUCGAGCGAACUUUCCAGAGAUGGAUUGGUGCCUUCGGGAACGCUCAGACAGGUGCUGCAUGGCCGUCGUCAGCUCGUGUUGUGAAAUGUUGGGUUAAGUCCCGUAACGAGCGCAACCCUUGUCCCUAUUUGCCAGCGAUUCGGUCGGGAACUCUAGGGAGACUGCCGGUGACAAACCGGAGGAAGGUGGGGACGACGUCAGGUCAUCAUGGCCCUUACGAGUAGGGCUACACACGUGCUACAAUGGCCGGUACAAUGGGCUGCAAUCCCGCGAGGGGGAGCUAAUCUCAUAAAGCCGGUCUCAGUCCGGAUCGGAGUCUGCAACUCGACUCCGUGAAGUCGGAAUCGCUAGUAAUCGUGCAUCAGAAUGGCACGGUGAAUACGUUCCCGGGCCUUGUACACACCGCCCGUCACACCAUGGGAGUGGACUGCACCAGAAGUGGUUAGCCUAACUUCGGAGGGCGAUCACCACGGUGUGGUUCAUGACUGGGGUGAAGUCG